rnacentral:rRNA from 1 species
UGAGGAAUAUUGCGCAAUGGGCGAAAGCCUGACGCAGCGACGCCGCGUGGGGGAUGAAGGUCUUCGGAUUGUAAACCCCUUUCGGGAGAGAAGACGGCCUUAGACAACUAAGGCGGACGGUACCUCCAGAAGCAGCCACGGCUAACUUCGUGCCAGCAGCCGCGGUAAUACGAAGGUGGCAAGCGUUGUUCGGAUUUACUGGGCGUAAAGGGAGCGUAGGUGGUUAGGUAAGCCCUCCGGGAAAUCUUCAGGCUUAACCUGAAAAGGUCGGGGGGGACUGCCUGGCUAGAGGACGGGAGAGGAGCGCGGAAUUCCCGGUGUAGCGGUGAAAUGCGUAGAGAUCGGGAGGAAGGCCGGUGGCGAAGGCGGCGCUCUGGAACGUUUCUGACACUGAGGCUCGAAAGCGUGGGGAGCAAAC